rnacentral:rRNA from 1 species
GACGAACGCUGGCGGCGUGCUUAACACAUGCAAGUCGAACGGGAACCUUUAUUUCGGUAAAGGUGAGAGUGGCAAACGGGUGAGUAACACGUAGGCAACCUGCCGACAGGAUGGGGACAACAUUCCGAAAGGAAUGCUAAUACCGAAUGAAGUCACCGGAGGGCAUCCUCUGGUGAUGAAAGGUGGCCUCUGAAUAUGCUAUCACCUGUCGAUGGGCCUGCGUCUGAUUAGCCAGUUGGCGGGGUAACGGCCCACCAAAGCGACGAUCAGUAGCCGGUCUGAGAGGAUGAACGGCCACAUUGGGACUGAGACACGGCCCAGACUCCUACGGGAGGCAGCAGUGGGGAAUCUUCCACAAUGGGCGAAAGCCUGAUGGAGCAACGCCGCGUGAGUGAAGAAGGUCUUCGGAUCGUAAAGCUCUGUUGCACGGGACGAAAACCGA